GCGGAAGCAGAUAUCAUAGAGGGCUUCGUUGUCGAGCACCAUGCACUCAUCAGCAUUUUCAACAAGUUGGUGAACUGAGAGUGUUGCGUUGUAAGGCUCCACGACUGUGUCAGAGACCUUGGGUGAAGGGAAGACUGAAAAGGUGAGCAUCAUGCGGUCAGGGUACUCCUCACGGAUCUUGGAUAUCAAGAGUGUACCCAUGCCAGAGCCGGUACCACCUCCUAAGGAAUGGCAAACCUGAAAUCCCUGGAGGCAAUCGCAAUUCUCCGCCUCCUUCCGCACAACAUCAAGCACCGAAUCGAUCAGCUCAGCCCCCUCCGUGUAAUGCCCCU
rnacentral:misc_RNA from 1 species